GACGAACGCUGGCGGCGUGCUUAACACAUGCAAGUCGAACGGAGAAUUUUGCUUCGGUAGAAUUCUUAGUGGCGAACGGGUGAGUAACAUAUCGGAACAUGUCCGGAAGUGGGGGAUAACGUACCGAAAGGUACGCUAAUACCGCAUAUGCCCUGAGGGGGAAAGGGGGGGAUCGCAAGACCUCUCGCUUUCGGAGUGGCCGAUAUCGGAUUAGCUAGUAGGUGAGGUAAAGGCUCACCUAGGCGACGAUCCGUAGCUGGUCUGAGAGGACGACCAGCCACACUGGAACUGAGACACGGUCCAGACUCCUACGGGAGGCAGCAGUGGGGAAUUUUGGACAAUGGGCGCAAGCCUGAUCCAGCCAUACCGCGUGAGUGAAGAAGGCCUUCGGGUUGUAAAGCUCUUUCAGCCGGAAAGAAAUCGCACUGGUUAAUACCUUGUGUGGAUGACGGUACCGGAAGAAGAAGCACCGGCUAACUACGUGCCAGCCGCCGCCGUAA
rnacentral:rRNA from 1 species